GUUUUUAUAGUUUAAUUUAAAAACAUUGGUCUUGUAAAUCAAAAAUAUAUAAAUAUAUUAAAAACU
rnacentral:tRNA from 1 species